AUAAGGGGAAUGAAGUGCUCCCCGGGGAAGACUCCCCGAACCGCCUUUUCAGGCUGAUGACUUCUGCGAA
rnacentral:ncRNA from 1 species